AGCAGCCGCGGUAAUUCCAGCUCCAAUAGCGUAUAUUAAAGUUGUUGCAGUUAAAAAGCUCGUAGUUGAAUUUCGGAAUCAAUAUAUCGGUCGUGCCUUGGUACGUACCGGUAUCAUUGGUUUCUCCUUUCUGACGAACCAUGAUGUCAUUAAUUUGGUGUUAUGGGAAGUUAGGACUGUUACUUUGAAAAAUUAGAGUGUUUAAAGCAGGCUUUAGCUUGAAUACAUUAGCAUGGAAUAAUGAAAUAGGACGUUCGAACCUAUUUUGUUGGUUUCUAGGAUCAACGUAAUGAUUAAUAGGGAUAGUUGGGGGCAUUAGUAUUCAAUUGUCAGAGGUGAAAUUCUUGGAUUUAUUGAAGACUAACUACUGCGAAAGCAUUUGCCAAGGAUGUUUUCAUUAAUCAAGAACGAAAGUUAGGGGAUCGAAGACGAUCAGAUACCGUCGUAGUCUUAACCAUAAACUAUGCCGACUAGGGAUCGGAUGAUGUAAUUUUUAUGAUCAUUCGGCGCCUUACGGGAA
rnacentral:rRNA from 1 species